UACGAAGGGGGCUAGCGUUGCUCGGAAUCACUGGGCGUAAAGCGCACGUAGGCGGGUCGUUAAGUCAGGGGUGAAAUCCUGGAGCUCAACUCCAGAACUGCCCUUGAUACUGGCGAUCUCGAGUUCGGGAGAGGUGAGUGGAACUGCGAGUGUAGAGGUGAAAUUCGUAGAUAUUCGCAAGAACACCAGUGGCGAAGGCGGCUCUCUAGUACGGUACUGACGCUGAGACGCGAAAGCGUGGGGAGCGAACAGG
rnacentral:rRNA from 1 species